CGUUGUUUGAUGGGGUUUUGAAAAAUUAUGAUUGCUCGAAAAUUUAAUUUAUGUUCCUAUCACUUAGCUUUUUGUGCAAAAUGUGACGGGUGACGGAGAAUUAGGGUUCGAUUCCGGAGAGGGAGCCUGAGAAACGGCUACCACAUCCAAGGAAGGCAG
rnacentral:sRNA from 1 species